UCGAAAUAAAGACUCAACCCAAUCGCGAUUAACAGCGACUAACAUACAAUAAAAGCAAAGCCCUCGCUGCAACCCAAAAUCAUCGUCACGAGUGUCCUCAAGUGACGGAAAGUAACAUCAAGUAACUGAAAGUGGUGCCCGCAGGCAAACAAGUGCGACCCAUAGCCAGAGUCAUAAGUUUUAUAAAUACAGUCCUCCAAGAAAGUAAGUCAGCCCAAAACGGCCUCCAAAGGACCUCCUACGUGACCUCCUACGUCCGACAAACUCCCUGUGAUCCUCAUGGAAGAGAACCACACAAAAAGCUAAUAGUCGGGGACCUACUGUAAGACCCAGGGUUUUAGAAUUAAAUAAGUAAAUAAUUUCCAACUCACGCACAGCGCACAGGAUUAUGUGUAAACGUGAGAGGAACUCGACUUAUGUUUAAUGGUUGGAUUAAUAUUAUGAAGAAGAAAGUUCAGGAUAUGGUUAAGAAUAGUUAUAUAGUCGCUAUAGGUUAUAGCACGAGUUUCAUUCAAUUCCGCCUUAGGGCGAAAACGUUAGUAAACGACUAAUUUGCACUUAAAGACACGAUGGAAACUAAUUCCAAAAAUCUUCAGAGAAAUGUUAGAACUUCUCUUAAUCCUUCCAUGAUAAGCAUUUCGAUACGAAACCCUGGAAUGUAAGAACGUCCGAUUCUAAUUCUCGGAGGUUCGCCGAAACUAAAACCCUGAUAGCUCAAGAAACCUAAAAUAAACGAUUGAUGAAGACUUUUUCUAUUCGGAGCUUCAAACGAAGAUUCCACACGCGUACACUCAUUUCUUUCGAUGUUUCCAAUCUUUCUUCAGAAGGAAGUUUCUGCAUCUGACAUUCGCUGCAAAAAGUAGUUUUUCGGGUAAAAUAGAUUUACACCGACUUUGGAUCGUUUGCUUUAAUUCCAAGAAACCUCUUUUGAAUUUUGGAAUUCUGUCGCCAGAACCUAUCUUAGAAUUCACAGAGGAUGGCACAGGAGAAAUCGGAAUCGCGAAAUUUUCAUUUUUCCGCAUUUUCCAAAACCUAUAAAUAGCUUGAAAAAUGAAAAAAAAAAUCAAAAACAUCAAAAAACACACACACACGGCCGUGAGCAAGGAGGAGGAGAGGAGGAGAAGUGAUUUUUGCCGAUUCUUGCCUGAUCGUCCCACAGUUCGUUGCUACGCGUAGGCCUCGAGGUACUGAUGCUUUUCCUUACCUCUGAUCGUAAAUUCUGUCGCUUUUCUCUAUGUCUUUCUGUGCUCAAAGUUUUGAGUUUUUUGUAAAACUGUCCAAAUAACUUGAUUUCUCUGUCUAAACUUAUUCCCUGCGUGCCCCUGAGCAUGUUUAGCGGAUUACAUUUUGCCGAAUGUCCGAAAGGCCGCCGAGUCUCGAUUCUGCUCAAAAUACCCAUUUUGGGCUAAAGUUCCGUUCUUUGGGCUUAAAACUCUCAACUGAGCUUAGCGUUAGUAGGAUUAGUCGUCAUAAUCGUCGUUGGUGUCGACCCCAUCUAAUUUUUUUUUCGAAAUUCUGAUUUUGAGUUUCCGAGCUAAAAAUAUUGACCAAAAUACCCCUGCGACAGUUUUCGAACCGAUAAUUUUUCUGAGAGUUUCCCUGGCCUAGAUAUCGCCUAAGAAUACCUAGGAAUCGAUUUAGAUCGAAGAAAAAGUUCGGAAACCCUAUUUUUGAGAGUGGCCGAAACCUAUUUGGUAGGGUACCGUGUCCAAAAAUAAUUUUUGGGUCUCUAUGACCUGAGCUAUUGCGUAGCUCUUUCAAUUUUCGAAAUUUUGGCGUUGGUUUCGUGUCAUUCCGAGUUCUGUAGCUCGAAUUAUGCUCGUUUUAGCGAACGAAGUCUCGGUUGUCAAUUUGUGUUUAAGUAGGAACUCUGAAGCUUUAAAAGCUUUCUUUACGAUUUCGAUUAGUAUUAUUAGAUAGUGUUGUUUCUAGUGAAGCUUGUGUUGAUGAUUGUGUUUCCUUGUUCUAGGUUCACAACUUCCAUGCACAACUUCUACUCACGAAGGUAAGGGUAACUCAGUUUUAGAGUGUCCUUGAGUCUUGCCUGCUUUUAUCGCACUGCCUGUGUUUGAGAUGAAGAUGUUUAUAUUGAUUGACAGAUGAUUAUGAUUAUUAUGCUUGCUUAUGUUGACUGUUUCUGAGGCUUGUGCCAAAUGUUUUCUGAAGGCUUCGGCCGAGUGAACUUAUUGAGACGUGUGUCUCCGUUUUCUGAGAGGCUUCGGCCGUUUACUGGUUUCUGUCAUUGAACUGAGUUGGUAUGCAAUUGAAUUGAGUUAUGUUCGUUGAUAAUAGGAAUAACAUGUGGUUACUCCGAAUAAAUCAUUGGUUUGGGCAUUGUUGUUGAUUGACUUGGCAUAUAGGGCUUGGUCUUUAAGUGGCGAUGAGGUGGGGUGUGGUCCCGCGUGAUUGUCCCGUCUUUCAAGACGUUAUAAAGUGGCGAUGAGGUGGGGUGUGGUCCCGCGUGAUUGUCCCGUCUUUCGAGACGUUAUAAAGUGGCGAUGAGGUGGGGUGUGGUCCCGCGUGAUUGUCCCAUCUUGUGAGAUGUUCUAAAGUGGCGAUGAGGUGGGGUGUGGUCCCGCGUGAUUGUCCCGUCUUGCGAGACGUUAUUGAUCGAUCCAUUUUGGUAGCAGCAUAUAGUUGCAUUAUAGGGAACUAACACCUGACCCUAUGUUGUUGGAUUUUAGUUAUUGGUUUAUUGAUAUCUGAUUUGAUGUUACAUUGUUGAGGUUAUUAUUAUCUGAGUUAAUCUAUGUUAAGUCGUUGAUAUAUGAGUUGAGUUAUGUUGCUAGUUUAUUUACCAUGCUAGGUAAUUAAAUUUGAAUAGCAUGAUUUUCUCUUUUAUACAUGGUAAUUGCAUGGAGUUAACCCUUUCUAUUUGUUAUUUGUUGUUUGGGCGCUUAACGCUAUUAGGCGAUGAAGAGCCUUCUGGCGAUGCUUAGCCAUGCUGAGAUGGAGGAGGGAUAGUAACCGGCGGAGCGAGGAUGGAAGAAGUUGUAUAGUUUUCUCUUAGUAGUUUAUGCUUUGAGUCUUCUUCAUUAUCCGAAAACUCUGUUACUAAAACCCUGUUUUCACCACUAUUUAAGUGUGCGUACUUAUUUUGGAAACUUGCUUAUGCUAUUGUAAGACACUAUUAGUAUAUGUCGGGAACGGAUUGUUUAAUUAAGACUAUGUUAUGUAUUAAACUGUGUUUAGUUGUUUUGAAAAGAAGAAAAAAAUUAUUAUGGUUUCUUAGGAUUACGAAAUAGUCCUUAGACUUUGUUAGGUUACUAAUGUGACUCCUCAGUUGAGAAAUUGGGGCGUUACACCUACCCUGCCCCAAAAUAAGAAAUGAAAAUCAGAGCUAUGACACUAACACCCAACCUUAGUAGGCUCUAAACACC
rnacentral:lncRNA from 1 species